rnacentral:lncRNA from 1 species
AUGCCAGCGCUGUACCUGGAGAAAUGGGCUGUUGGAACACACGGUUUGGCUGAUGGAUUGCUGACCUCUUGUACUGCCCGAGGCUCGUCUGUGCACUUGAACUUCUCAGCGAAGGUGGAGAGGGUCCAAAAGCAACGCUGGGAGGCUGAACAUGACAAACAGGAGGAUUCAAUUAGGAAGAAAGACCGCGCAUCACCCGCUGGGACCACACUGCCUCAUUCCUCCGCCGGAUUCCAUCUUUGAAAUGUCUUCUGCGCGGCGCUCCCGCCCCCGCUCGCCUCCUUGAAACUUCACAGCUGGGACACAGAGGGACUUUGAAGGGCGGAAGACAAGAGGGAUUUUUCCUUCCUCCGUGGACAUAUUUAACAGCCAGUUCCCGAAUGGUAUUAAUAAACAUUUCAACUUCAAAAACUGAACUUGACAUUUCUACAUCCUUUCCAUUGUUGCUAUGUUUUCGUCUUUGCCAUUACACAAGUGAUGUCUAUGGUACAUGCAGGAUUAAAAGGGGUUCACAAGUCUCCGGGUUCAGAAAUGUGUGUAUUUGUUGGUCUAUAGAUCCCUGGGAAGCACUGGGGUGGUCACUGUUAUCCUGGGGAUAGAAUAAUAUAUAGAGAGAUGAGUCCAAAUAUUGAAAACUUUGACA